rnacentral:rRNA from 1 species
UACGUAGGGGCCUAGCGUUGUCCGGAAUUAUUGGGCGUAAAGAGCUCGUAGGCGGUUUGUCGCGUCUGCUGUGAAAUCCCGAGGCUCAACCUCGGGUCUGCAGUGGGUACGGGCAGACUGGAGUGCGGUAGGGGAGAAUGGAAUUCCUGGUGUAGCGGUGGAAUGCGCAGAUAUCAGGAGGAACACCGAUGGCGAAGGCAGUUCUCUGGGCCGAUACUGACGCUGAGGAGCGAAAGCGUGGGGAGCGAACAGG